rnacentral:rRNA from 1 species
UACAGAGGGUGCAAACGUUGUUCGGAAUCACUGGGCAUAAAGCGCACGUAGGCGGCUCAGCCAGUGCGGAGUGAAAGCCCACGGCUCACCCGUGGAAUUGCUUCGCAUACUACUGAGCUCGAGUGCAGGAGAGGAGAGCGGAACUCUUGGUGGAGCGGUGAAAUGCGUAGAUAUCAAGAGGAACACCAAAGGCGAAGGCAGCUCUCUGGCCUGUGUCUGACGCUGAGGUGCGAAAGCCAGGGUAGCGAACGGG